UUCAUCGAGUGAAAGGAGUUUUUCAACUUUUUUUAGCAGAUAAGUACGUAAAAAUAGGGGUUAAAUGGGUCAACUUCACCAAUCAAAACUUUUUUUCACGUUUUAAAUAAAAAAAUCGCAUUCUUUCGCAAACUUUUAAUCACGAAAUAAUUUCAUCCCAAUUUUUUAACAUGUACAUUGUUCAGCAUGAAAAGUUGCCUAAUACCUAUAUUUUUUUCAGAAUGUUUGAGAGUCGGAAUGAUAUAUGAAAACUACGUUUUGAAAUUUUUCGAGCUGAUUUUUCACACGAAAAAAAGUGGCAACGCUGAUUUCUAUCACAUCACCAAAAGGCCUUUCAAAACCCCUAACUAUUGGAUAAGUUACAUUUUGGUAGGUAUCGCGGUUAUCGAGUAGGUAAUCCACUGCUGAAAAUAAAUGGAUAAUACUUUAAGUUCACUGAAAACUUAUUUACACCCCCAAGCAGCCUUCAAAAAAGGGCUUGAGGGCUGCGAUUUGCGUCCUUGGUCAUCCCUUCAAAAGGGCUUUCCACAGGAAAAAUUUUAAAAAAAAUAGCCAACCCCCCCCCCACUACUUGUUGGUCGAAUUGACGUGGAAUGACCCAGUUUAACAAGUAGUUCGCAAAUGCAUCAGUUAACUUCAUGUGAGUUAUAUGAAUGUUGCCUACUGAGAUGAAACGAAGGAAAAAUAUUAUAUUUCGAUAUGGCAAAUUCAUCGAGGUACUUUUACUUAUGAUAACAUUAUUUUUAAUAUGUAGGUACAUAGUUCAUUUCAUGAUUCUAACUAAUCAUACCUCGCUAUUUCAUAGAAUAAGUAGAUUCUUCAUACAUUACCUAGGUUAAGUGUGAAAAAUGUUCACGUGCAUUACUAAUUUUUCGUUAAUGUAUAUGAAUUAGGUAGGUAGUUAUUUCAUAGGUAGAUACAUAAUACCUGGAGUAAAUACAUUAACGGUUUGGAAUUCAUGGUAAAAAAAUUAACUUGAAUUUCAUUUCUAAAAGGAGCAUGUCCGAAAAAUGUAAAUUAAAAAAAAUAAUAAUCCCUUAUCAUCAACGCAUGCACGCCAAGAAUUAAGUUAUGGAGAGCAAUCAUUCUAUUCAAAGCUUUAUUUAGGUGAAUGGACUGUUGCAAUACAACACACGUAUCUUGCUUAGUUGUUUUGCUAAUAUCGCCCAUAACAUGAUGUAAUUUCAAAUACAUAAUUCAAAAUUGCGACAUCUACAAACAUUUUUUAUAUUUUUAUUUACUUAGGUAGGUAUGGUGCCAACUACGAAAUGUUGUUCCUUACCUAUAGGUAGGUAUGUCGUAAUACUUAAAAAAUUUAUUCUUUAUCAAUUAGGCUGUCACCAUUGUAACAAAAAUAGCACGAUUGUUUACUCGUUUUACAUUCGUGUGUAUGGUUGUGGUGGUAACUAUUUUUGUGCUUAUAAAUACCGAACACAAAACGUAUUAAUGCAUAUUCGGCUAAAAAGUUGCCUUCAAGUCCUGAUUGGCCAAGUAUUUUUUUUCGAAAAAAAACUCUGAUCAAGUUGACGAAAAAUUGGUAUCCGACUGAAUACGAUGUCCAAGUUUUUGACAGUUGCUAUAAUUGCGGUUUGUAUGCUGAGCUGCUUGCUUUUGGAGCAAGUUAGCGCUGCCCCUCGGAAAAAUCCUUAAGGAGUCUCGUCGCUCUAACGUUGAGUUUAUCGAGUAUGCACAGGAAAUCAAACUCUGAAGACGGACACACAUAUGAAGAAAAAUCAUUUAUUUACCUAUUUCAGUAUCAUAGGUAAUGGAAUUCAAAUAAAUCAUUUCGUUCUUUUUAUUUUAUAUAAAAAAAAAAGUUUACAUUAAGUAUCUACACACAUUAUAAGUAUAUACCUAUAACAGCUAUGAUUCUGUAACACACAAUAUUAUUCAAAAUGUGCUUUUUUUGAUGAAUUGUACAUUAUUAUAAGAAUCAGAAUAAAGCAUUAUUAAUCAA